rnacentral:tRNA from 1 species
GCAGAGUUAGCUCAGUAGGUAGAGUGUUUGCCCUGUGAUUGAAAGGUUGGGGGUUCAAAUCCACCAAACGGCU